AUCCAAGUGAUAGCUCAUUUGGUAGAGCAAUGGACUUUUAAUCUCAGGAUUAUGUGGGUUCGAGCCCCACAUUGGGCA